rnacentral:rRNA from 1 species
GAUGAACGCUGGCGGCGUGCCUAAUACAUGCAAGUCGAGCGAAUGGAUUAAGAGCUUGCUCUUAUGAAGUUAGCGGCGGACGGGUGAGUAACACGUGGGUAACCUGCCCAUAAGACUGGGAUAACUCCGGGAAACCGGGGCUAAUACCGGAUAAUAUUUUGAACUGCAUGGUUCAAAAUUGAAAGGCGGCUUCGGCUGUCACUUAUGGAUGGACCCGCGUCGCAUUAGCUAGUUGGUGAGGUAACGGCUCACCAAGGCAACGAUGCGUAGCCGACCUGAGAGGGUGAUCGGCCACACUGGGACUGAGACACGGCCCAGACGCCUACGGGAGGCAGCAGUAGGGAGUCUUCCGCAAUGGACGAAAGUCUGACGGAGCAACGCCGCGUGAGUGAUGAAGGCUUUCGGGUCGUAAAACUCUGUUGUUAGGGAAGAACAAGUGCUAGUUGAAUAAGCUGGCACCUUGACGGUACCUAACCAGAAAGCCACGGCUAACUACGUGCCAGCCGCCGCCGUAA